GCUUUGACAGUCGACCUUGAAGGAACCAAGCAGGGUGUGGCCUCCAUAGUCACCUACAGUGAUCCUUACCUUGGGGUCCCCUGGGAAGGAAGACUCAGGGCUGAUC